CGCGUUAUAGCAUAAUGGAAAGUGCAGUGGUUUGCAAAACUAUUAGUAUAGGUUCAAUUCCUAUUAAUGCAU
rnacentral:tRNA from 1 species